rnacentral:rRNA from 1 species
UUUUCAGCCGCCGCGGUAAUACGUAGGGGGCUAGCGUUGUCCGGAUUUAUUGGGCGUAAAGAGCGCGUAGGCGGCCGUGUAAGUCCGACGUGAAAUCUGGAGGCUCAACCUCCAGCGUGCGUUGGAAACUACACGGCUAGAGUCCGGAAGAGGAGAGUGGAAUUCCUGGUGUAGCGGUGAAAUGCGCAGAUAUCAGGAAGAACACCGAUGGCGAAAGCAGCUCUCUGGGACGGUACUGACGCUGAGGCGCGAAAGCGUGGGGAGCGAACAGGAUUAGAUACCCCUGUAGUCC